UACGGAGGAUCCAAGCGUUAUCCGGAAUCAUUGGGUUUAAAGGGUCCGUAGGCGGUUUUAUAAGUCAGUGGUGAAAUCCGGCAGCUUAACUGUCGAACUGCCAUUGAUACUGUAGAACUUGAAUUAUUAUGAAGUAACUAGAAUAUGUAGUGUAGCGGUGAAAUGCUUAGAGAUUACAUGUAAUACCAAUUGCGAAGGCAGGUUACUAAUAAUACAUUGACGCUGAUGGACGAAAGCGUGGGUAGCGAACA
rnacentral:rRNA from 1 species